rnacentral:rRNA from 1 species
UACAGAGACUGCGAGCGUUGUUCGGAUUCACUGGGCGUAAAGGGUGCGUAGGCGGUCGGGUAAGUCUGAUGUGAAAUCUCCAAGCUCAACUUGGAAAUGGCAUCGGAUACUAUUCGGCUGGAGGAAUGGAGGGGAGACUGGAAUACUUGGUGUAGCAGUGAAAUGCGUAGAUAUCAAGUGGAACACCAGUGGCGAAGGCGAGUCUCUGGACAUUUCCUGACGCUGAGGCACGAAAGCCAGGGGAGCAAACGGG